UACGGAGGGUGCAAACGUUGCUCGGAAUCAUUGGGCGUAAAGCGCACGUAGGCGGCGAAGCAAGUCGGGUGUGAAAGCCCUGGGCUCAACCCAGGAAGUGCAUUCGAAACUAUUUCGCUUGAAUCUCGGAGGGGGUCAGAGAAUUCCCGGUGUAGAGGUGAAAUUCGUAGAUAUCGGGAGGAAUACCAGUGGCGAAGGCGCUGACCUGGACGAAGAUUGACGCUGAGGCACGAAAGCGUGGGGAUCAAACAGG
rnacentral:rRNA from 1 species